rnacentral:sRNA from 1 species
CAAAUCUCAAUCGUUAGCUACGGUGAAGAGAAGCCACUUCUUCUAGGUCAAUCAGAUGAAGUUUACGCUAAGAACCGUCGCGCGGUUCUAGUAUACUAAUUCGAGGUAAUCCUCAUGUUCAGUAACACUAAGC